CAACAGUUAGCCACUGCCUGUU
rnacentral:misc_RNA from 1 species